AUAAUUUGGGGAACGAGUAGUUAUUAAUAAGGGUAAAAUAAGAAAAGAGAUUAUUUUCUGAAAACUUUGAGAUUAACCGAAGAAUCAUGAAAAAUAUAGUGAGAGAAUCUAGAGAGAAGGAGGAGCAGUUGAGAGAAGUCUUUGGAAGACAGAGAGUUUAUUAAUCAGAAAAGAGAGUAAAAUGAAAUCCGUAGCCAAAAUAUCUGAUAUAUGGCUAUAUAUACACCUAGCAUUGGGUCGGGUCAGACGGCCCAAUGACGAAAGUAAAAUGGGGCUCAGACACAUGUUGGGCUCAGACACAUGUGUAGCCCAAACAAUAAAACUUUCAUCAUAGCCCACUUCCACCUAUACAAUGUAUACCAGAGAAUACAAUAAAUAUAUAACGUAUAUACAGUGUAUACAAUCAUCUAAGCUCUUUCAUCUCAACACUCUUGCUUUAAUAUAAUAGGCAAAUAAAAGUGAAAAUAUAUUUUUAGUAUAGUGAACAUGUAAAAACGGACGAGGGAGAAUAUAUGUAUUAUAAAUAGUGACGGAAGUAAAAUGGGGCUCAGACACAUGUUGGGCUCAUACACAUGUGUAGCCCAAACAAUAAAACAUUCAUCAUAGCCCACUUCCACCUAUGCAAUGUAUACCAGAGAGUACAAUAAAUAUACAAUGUAUAUACAGUGUAUACAAUCAUGUAAGCUCUUUCAUCUCAACACCCCCUCAUUGCAUCCUGCCAUGCUGGGACAGAUGCAGCUUGAGAGUAAUACAUUGGUUCAGAUUCCAAAGUGGAAGAAGAGGAAUCAGAAAAGGCAGGCAGUUGACAGACAUAAUCCUUAAGAUAGGAAGGAGGAUUAUGCUGUCUGGUGGACUUUCUAGGUGUAGGAAGAUGAUGGGAUGGAGGUAACACAGGAGUAGGGAGAUCAGGAUUGAAAGAAGGAAGGGAAGAUGGACCAGCAUCAAAAAAAUCAGGUUCAGGAGAAUCAGUAGUAGAAGGAAGAACAGAAAAAUCAGGGGAAGUAAGUAUAGGAAAGUCUGUGGCAGUGAAAUCAUCAGCAGGAGGAAUAGAAGGAAAAAAUGAAGAAGAAGGGUGAGCAGAAGUAGGUUUAUUUUGAAAAGGGAAAUAAGUUUCAUGGAAGACAACAUCCCUUGAAACAAAACACUUCUUGGUAACCAUNNNNNNNNNNNNNNNNNNNNNNNNNNNNNNNNNNNNNNNNNNNNNNNNNNNNNNNNNNNNNNNNNNNNNNNNNNNNNNNNNAACCCUUUUUGGCAAAGGGGUAACCCAGAAACACACAAGAGUGGGCUCUAGGUUUCAGCUUAUCCCUUUGAGGGAUAGGGACAUCAGCAUAAGCAAGGCAUCCAAAUGUCCUCAAAUGAGAAUAGGAUGGAGCUUUGCCAUACAAUUUCAUGGGGAGACUUAUGGUGAAGGAUUCUGGAAGGUAUUUUGUUAAGAAGAUAGGUGGUAGUUAACAGACAAUCCCCCCAAAAAGACACAGGUAGGCCAGAUUGAAAAAGCAGGGCUCUACAUGUUUCAAGAGGUGUUCUGUGUUUUAUUUCAACAACACCAUUCUGUUGAGGUGAAUGAGGGCAGGAGGUUUGAUGAAUAAUCCCCUAGCUACUAAAAAAGGAUAUUCCCUCAGUGCUGGAUCCCAAUUCUAUGGCAUUGUCACUUCUGACAGUCUGAAUGAGGGCAGGAGGUUUGAUGAAUAAUCCACUGGCUACUAAAAAAGGAUAUGCCCUCAAUGCUGGAUCCCAGUUCUAAGGCAUUGUCACUUCUAACAAUCUGAACCACAGUGUUAAACUGAGUUUUAACAAAAGAGAUGAAAGACUUAAGCAGGGAAAAAGCAUAGCUUUUAGAUCCCAUUAAGUGUGUCCAGGUUGCCCUAGAAAAAUCAUCAACUAUAGUAAGGAAGUAUUUGUAACCAGAAGAAGUAGAAGUGUGGCAAGGCCCCCAAGUAUCCACAUGUAUUAGUUGAAAUGAUCUAGUAGUACUGAUACUGCUGUCAUGAAAAGGGAGUCUAGUCUGUUUGGCCAUAGGGCAGACNNNNNNNNNNNNNNNNNNNNNNNNNNNNNNNNNNNNNNNNNNNNNNNNNNNNNNNNNNNNNNNNNNNNNNNNNNNNNNNNNNNNNNNNNNNNNNNNNNNNNNNNNNNNNNNNNNNNNNNNNNNNNNNNNNNNNNNNAGUGGAAAAGACAAACCAGAAAUAUGUCUCAUAUUUGCAAAAGGAGUAUGUGCUAGUCUUAAAUGCCAAAUGUAAUUCAUAUCAGUGGUAACAACAUUAUCACAAAUGGAAUUAUUUACAAUUGGAAGCAAGCCAACAUUUUUGCUAUUAGACAUAGUGUCAUCAUUACAAAAAUCAGACAAAGCACACACAGAAGUAAAAGGAGAACCAGGAGAGGAAGAAGGGGAAGGAGGCACCCAAGACAGUUUGUAUAAGCCAGCUUCCUCUUUACCAAGAUCCAGAGGCCUCUUCGGAGAAGGGUCCUGUAUCAUGUGAAGCAAACAGGAAGUUGGAGUGAACAAAACUAUACAGUGCAACUGUUUUAUCAACUUGUGAACAGAAAUCAAGUUGUGUUUAAAUGAAGGAACCAGAAGCACAUUGUGAAGAGUAAGGGAAGAAGGAACAGACAAAUUAGGAUUUCCAUGAUUAACAUACACACAUUCCUCACCAGUGGAGAUAUGAGCAGCUGCAGAUUUUCUUCCCUUGUUGUAGUUUAUGUUUUGAGGAAACCCAUGGAUCUUGUAGCACUUAUCAAUUAAGUGCCCAGAUUUCUUGCAGUAUCUGCAAAAUAAGGGUCCUCUGCUUUGCUUAAUAUUAACUAUGGGUCUGAAAAUAGGGGGUCUAGGCACUGUGGCCUGAUUAAACCCAGCUGAGUGCUUGUUUGCAUGAGCAUUAAAAGACAUAGAGUCUGGACUGAUUUGAGAAAUGGAUUGAACUUGUCUUUGUUUCUCAUCAUUAAGCACUAUGUUGUAAACACUGUCAACUCUGGGUCUGAAAAUAGGGGGUCUAGGCAUUGUGGCCUAAUUAAACCCAGCUGAGUGCUUGUUUGCAUGAGCAUUAAAAGACAUAGAGUCUGGACUGAUUUGAGAAAUGGAUUGAACUUGUCUCUGUUUCUCAUCAUUAAGCACUAUAUCGUAAACACUGUCAAGGGAAGGAAAUGGGUGCAUCAUCAACAGAUUACUCCUAACCCCCAUGUAUGCUUCAUUUAACCUCAUAAGAAACUGGAAUACCUUGUUUUCAUCAUUUUCCUCAAUUAUUCCAUUUUUAGCAGCACACACACAUCUCUGCCCAUGUUUGUGCACAUUGUGCCCAAUUCAACCCACAAGCCUUUGAGCUUGUUAAAGUAUGAGGCUACGUCUAAGCAGCCUUGAGAUGUGUGGGGUGCCCAAUUCAUCCCACAAGCGUUUGAGCUUGUUAAAGUAUGAGGCUACAUCUAAGGAGCCUUGAGAUGUGUGGGAAAGUUCCCUUUUUAAUUCAAAAUUUUGGGUCUUGUUAGGGGUACCAUAUCUUCUCUCAAUUUGGGACCAUAUACUCUGUGCAGUAUCGGAAUAUUGCACACUAUCAGCAAUCUGAGGAGACAAGGAGGAGGUCAACAAGGAAAUGACCAUUUUAUUACAUCUAUCCCACAGUCUCUGUUGAACCACAUUAGUGGUAGGUCGAGGACAUGAACCGUCAACAAAAUCGAUUUUGUUUUUAGCAGAUAAAGCAACAAUCAUCUUACGCCUCCAACCCCCAUGACCACAACCCGAGAAGGGAGUGGGAACAAGAGAGACCCUAGGGACAUCAGAGAAAUAUACAAAAAGGGGGCUAGUAGAGUCUACCAAGGAGGAGGAGGUACCAGCAUUCAUGUUAGAAGCCAUAAUCAAUAAACCGGCUUAAGAUAAAACAGUUUCAACAAGAAGAGUAUAACCAAGCCAGAUAUUCACACACAAAACCACAUACUCACAUACGGUGCCAGAUAAUCACACACAAAGCAUACAAUACUCAAGAUAAGGACAAAGUUACCCUCCUUCUUCGCGACCGGAGAAGAUCGGCCUUCAAUCAACAGAGAAAACCUAGGUACAAAACCCUAGGUGUAACCGUCGAAAUCUUUACUGGAAAUAUGGUCAGCGAUGUCGGAAAGUCACCCAAAACAUCCACUAAGUGAGGAUCGAGCCACCAGAUAGCAGUUAAACCCUAGGUUCAACCACCAGAAACCCUAGAAGCUGAUAAAUCAUCGAAAGAUCACCCAAAAAUUAUCGGAAAAUCUCCCACAACGUUCGAGUGAAGAAGAUAUAGUCAGAUAUCACGAUGAAAGUCUCAGAAAAACAUCCGAUUUAGAUCGGAAUCGUCAUCGACCACAUACGUCAGAAACACCCCCAAAAAUCUCAAAGGGAAAAAACAAUCGAUUUAGAUCGGAAUCAUCAUUGACCACAUUCGUCAAGAACACCCCCAAAAAUCUCAUAAGGAUACUUCAACCAAGACAACAAGAUGCAGAAAAACAUAAUCGGAUCAUCGUCUACGCUCUGAUACCAUGAAAACUUUGAGAUUAAACCGAAGAAUCACGGAAAAUAUAGUGAGAGAAUCUAGAGAGAAGGAGGAGCAGUUGAGAGAAGUUUCAGGAAGACAGAGAGUUUAUUAAUCAGAAAAGAGAGUAAAAUGAAAUCCGUAGCCAAAAUAUCUGAUAUAUGGCUAUAUAUACACCUAGCAUUGGGUCGGGUCAGACGGCCCAAUGACGAAAGUAAAAUGGGGCUCAGACACAU
rnacentral:lncRNA from 1 species